rnacentral:rRNA from 1 species
AGGCUUUGAUCCUGGCUCAGGAUGAACGCUGGCGGUAUGCUUAACACAUGCAAGUCGAACGGUCUCUUCGGAGAUAGUGGCGGACGGGUGAGUAACGCGUGAGAAUCUGGCUCUAGGUCUGGGGCAACAGAUGGAAACGUCUGCUAAUACCGGAUGUGCCGAGAGGUGAAAGGCUAGCUGCCUGGAGAUGAGCUCGCGUCAGAUUAGCUAGUAGGUGGGGUAAAGGCCUACCUAGGCGACGAUCUGUAGCUGGUCUGAGAGGACGAUCAGCCACACUGGGACUGAGACACGGCCCAGACUCCUACGGGAGGCAGCAGUGGGGAAUUUCCCGCAAUGGGCGAAAGCCUGACGGAGCAAUACCGCGUGAGGGAGGAAGGCUCUUGGGUUGUAAACCUCUUUUCUCAAGGAAUAAGAAUGAAGGCACUUGAGGAAUAAGCAUCGGCUA